AUGGCUCAGGAUGAACGCUAGCGACAGGCUUAACACAUGCAAGUCGAGGGGCAGCACGGGAGUAGCAAUACAACUGGUGGCGACCGGCGCACGGGUGAGUAACGCGUAUGCAACCUACCUAUCAGAGGGGAAUAACCCGGCGAAAGUCGGACUAAUACCGCAUAAAACAGGGGCACCGCAUGGUGAUAUUUGUUAAAGAAAUUCGCUGAUAGAUGGGCAUGCGUUCCAUUAGGUAGUUGGUGAGGUAACGGCUCACCAAGCCGACGAUGGAUAGGGGAACUGAGAGGUUGGUCCCCCACACUGGUACUGAGACACGGACCAGACUCCUACGGGAGGCAGCAGUGAGGAAUAUUGGUCAAUGGGCGAGAGCCUGAACCAGCCAAGUCGCGUGAAAGGAAGAAGGAUCUAUGGUUCGUAAACUUCUUUUGCAGGGGAAUAAAGUGCGGGACGUGUCCUGUUUUGUAUGUACCCUGAGAAUAAGGAUCGGCUAACUCCGUGCCAGCAGCAGC
rnacentral:rRNA from 1 species